CUACGGAGGAUCCAAGCGUUAUCCGGAAUCAUUGGGUUUAAAGGGUCCGUAGGUGGAUAAUUAAGUCAGAGGUGAAAUCCUGCAGCUCAACUGUAGCAUUGCCUUUGAUACUGGUUAUCUUGAGUUAUUAUGAAGUAGUUAGAAUAUGUAGUGUAGCGGUGAAAUGCAUAGAUAUUACAUAGAAUACCGACUGCGAAGGCAGAUUACUAAUAAUAUACUGACACUGAGGGACGAAAGCGUGGGGAGCGAACAGGAUUAGAAACCCUAGUAGUCC
rnacentral:rRNA from 1 species